rnacentral:lncRNA from 1 species
UGUUGUGAAUCUAGAAAUACUUGUGUUGAAGUUAGUGAUUCCCGUAACAUGCACGUAUGGUGAACUGCUAUGUUAGGAAUUUGGAGCAUAAUUGAUCUAUUGAUUGACAUCCUUUGUGUUGAGGUCGGGAUCGCGCGAUGGUUAACACCUACCAACCCUUCCCCUAGGAGUAUGCGUUUAGCACUUUGUUUCGAUUACUAAUAAAAACUUUCGCAACAAGUAUGUGAGUUCUUCAUGACUAAUGUGAGUCCAUGGUCUAGAUGCACUUUCACCUUCCACCAUUGCUAGCCUCUCUAGCGCCACGCAAUUUUCGCCGGUGCAUAAACCCAUCAUAUGC